CCGACGGGAGCUUGCUCCCUUAGGUCAGCGGCGGACGGGUGAGUAACACGUGGGUAACCUGCCUGUAAGACUGGGAUAACUCCGGGAAACCGGGGCUAAUACCGGAUGCUUGAUUGAACCGCAUGGUUCAAUCAUAAAAGGUGGCUUUUAGCUACCACUUACAGAUGGACCCGCGGCGCAUUAGCUAGUUGGUGAGGUAACGGCUCACCAAGGCGACGAUGCGUAGCCGACCUGAGAGGGUGAUCGGCCACACUGGGACUGAGACACGGCCCAGACUCCUACGGGAGGCAGCAGUAGGGAAUCUUCCGCAAUGGACGAAAGUCUGACGGAGCAACGCCGCGUGAGUGAUGAAGGUUUUCGGAUCGUAAAACUCUGUUGUUAGGGAAGAACAAGUACCGUUCGAAUAGGGCGGUACCUUGACGGUACCUAACCAGAAAGCCACGGCUAACUACGUGCCAGCAGCCGCGGUAAUACGUAGGUGGCAAGCGUUGUCCGGAAUUAUUGGGCGUAAAGCGCGCGCAGGCGGUUUCUUAAGUCUGAUGUGAAAGCCCCCGGCUCAACCGGGGAGGGUCAUUGGAAACUGGGGAACUUGAGUGCAGAAGAGGAGAGUGGAAUUCCACGUGUAGCGGUGAAAUGCGUAAAGAUGUGGAGGAACACCAGUGGCGAAGGCGACUCUCUGGUCUGUAACUGACGCUGAGGCGCGAAAGCGUGGGGAGCGAACAGGAUUAGAUACCCUGGUAGUCCACGCCGUAAACGAUGAGUGCUAAGUGUUAGAGGGUUUCCGCCCUUUAGUGCUGCAGCAAACGCAUUAAGCACUCCGCCUGGGGAGUACGGUCGCAAGACUGAAACUCGAAGGAAUUGACGGGGGGCCCGCCCAAGCGGUGGAACAUGGGGUUUAAUUCCAAGCACCGCAAACAACCUUA
rnacentral:rRNA from 1 species